GGGAGGUAGUGACAAUAAAUAACAAUACGGGGUCCUUUUGGGUCCUGUAAUUGGAAUGAGUACAAUUUAAAUACCUUAACGAGGAACAAUUGGAGGGCAAGUCUGGUGCCAGCAGCCGCGGUAGUUCCAGCUCCAAUAGCGUAUAUUAAAGUUGCUGCAGUUAAAAAGCUCGUAGUUGAAUUUCGGGACCAUCAUGUCGGUCGUGCCUCGGUACGUACUGGUAUUGUUGGUUUCUCCCUUCUGACGAACCAUGAUGUCAUUUAUUUGGUGUCGUGGGGAAUCAGGACUGUUACUUUGAAAAAUUAGAGUGUUUAAAGCAGGCUCACGCUUGAAUACAUUAGCAUGGAAUAAUGAAAUAGGACGUUUGAUUCUAUUUUGUUGGUUUCUAGGAUCGACGUAAUGAUUAAUAGGGAUAGUUGGG
rnacentral:rRNA from 1 species